CUACCAAGCCCGGGAUUCUGGCAGACCAACUCUGCCUCCUUUGGUUCAAGGCACUGGGAGGCAUGUGACCCCCUAGACUGAACCUCUGAGGUCACAGGCCAGCGAGAGGACAGAGGAAGCCAUCUAGCAAGUCGAGGCCACACAUUAGCCUCUCUGUGUCUGUAACAAUGACGUUUUAUAACUCAGCUUGCUGCUACCCAGGAGAGAAGCGUUCUGAAAGACAAUGCCACAUAGGCCCUUUGUUUCAUAUGUGGCGGGAACAAUAAAUACAACUCAAUUAACUGUAAUCCGUGAGUAUUUCUGGUUCAGUUUUUCAAGGCAUCCUUUGGUGCUUUCCACUGUUCUGCUUGAGGUAGUUACCUAAUCCAUCUAGAUCAGCUGAGGUAGGUGGCAGGUCUCACGCUCUACUGUUGCUAGUUUUUUGUUGCUCCUGUCAAGACCCUGUUCCCCUAGGUGGGGAGAAGCCUGGGCGGUGAACGGGCAGGAAAAGACACUCACAUAAAAUAUUGUAAAUUCCUCCUAGAAUGACCCAAGUCCUGAAACUAUGAAAAUCCCUCAAGCCUCCAUAGGCCCUUGCAUGCCUAGGGCAUUUCACCCCUUCUUGACCUUCCAGAGGCCCACAGGACCCAGAGAUGACCCAGGUGGAAAAUGGAUUGCCUGGGCAGCCUAGCUCAAGUCUCCUGUCUGUCCUCUUUCACAAGCUGUUCCCCUUGAUAAUCCAGUUCCUACACAGUUAGCCGCCCCACCCCCCCCAGCCCCAAAGAGGAAAGGACAUAAAAAGAUAGAAGGUCAGAACAGAGAGCCCACACGGAGCCGACUCCCUGAGGCAGUCGCCAGCUGGCAACCAGGCCUGGUAACCAACACAUGAACCUCCUGGAUAACGUGGGGGUCUGCAGCCUCGCUUCCCCGAGCCCACCUCUCUCAGCCUCAGCUUCCUCAUCUGUCAACCAGAGACGGUCACAGUCCGCCGUCGCGCCGCCGUUGCAAGGCUGUGGGGAGGAGGAGGUGAAGGGACGCCCAGCAGGCCCCGAGCCCCUGCCCAGGGAGGGAAGGGCUCCCAGACGGCAGCGUGGUUACAACACUGUCACCACACCUCUUCCUCCUCGUCGUCUUCAUGACCAAGAACAUACACUAGGUCAACAAGCUACAACAUGCAGUGCCAGUUCAACAAAUAUAUAAAACUACAGCCGACUACGGAGAAUCUCACUCACCAUUAGAUGGACACCGCUAUAAGGACUCUGAGGCUUGAGACUAGCAAGAGGGGGAGGCCCAAUACCCCUCGCCAUCCAAGUUCAGCAGGAAGUAGCCUGAAAGACCUCGAUGCCCCUGUUCCCAAAGAAUUGGGAAUUUCCAGUCUCUUGAGGGGGGAAUGUUAGGUAGCUAGAAUAGGGAAAAGGAGUCCAAAAUGGUGGAGGCUAAGAGAU